rnacentral:rRNA from 1 species
UACGGAGGGUGCAAGCGUUGUCCGGAAUUAUUGGGCGUAAAGAGCUCGUAGGCGGCUUGUCGCGUCGACUGUGAAAACCCGCGGCUCAACCGCGGGCCUGCAUUCGAUACGGGCAGACUAGAGGUAUGCAGGGGAGAACGGAAUUCCUGGUGUAGCGGUGAAAUGCGCAGAUAUCAGGAGGAACACCGGUGGCGAAGGCGGUUCUCUGGGCAUUACCUGACGCUGAGGAGCGAAAGUGUGGGGAGCGAACAGG